AUGUACUUGGAUAGCAUCGGGGCAAAUCAUGUUUGCUACAGGUUCAGUGAUCACGACCGUUCCAUGUUAUUACCCAAGGAGUUAUGCAAAGAGGGUACACUCAUAAUGGCACAGAUGUCAAAAUACCCUAAUUUGGGUUUUAAUCCCAAAGCACCUGACCAGAUAACCGUCGGAGAUGAUGUUAUUAGAAGACAUUACCAGGUGCUCUUCGGCAUUGCUUAUAUGGAUCUGUCUCGGGAAGAAAGUGUUGACAGCAGCUUGAAAGAGGCCCUUCUCUUCUUUGUUCUGCUAGCCGAAGCACUACGGUUUCCUGAGCUCGAAAAGUGGUUACUAAAUAUCUUGGCAAAGAAGUUGGAAAUGUCACUCCCGGUUAGUAUAACCAAGCUCUUCAAAAAAUGGGGAAAGCUCUCUCAGAUUCUUCAUAAAGGCAGAGAAAAGUUCAACAUUGACAAUAUUACUGAUACGGUGCUGAAGAAUAAAUGUAAAACAUAUAAUGAUGUAUGUUCCAAGUUAGGAAUAGCGAACAGAAUCAACUUGGGCAAAUUGGAGAAAAAGAAGAAGAAGAAGAACAGGCUCUAA
rnacentral:rRNA from 1 species